GCAAAGCGUUAGGGAUUGAAGUGAAAAUCCUUUUUAUGGGAUGCUAACAGGAUGGAAAAAAGAUUGCAACAAAAGCCCGACCCGAU
rnacentral:sRNA from 1 species